rnacentral:rRNA from 1 species
UACGUAGGGCGCAAGCGUUAUCCGGAAUUAUUGGGCGUAAAGAGCUCGUAGGCGGUUUGUCGCGUCUGCCGUGAAAGUCCGGGGCUCAACUCCGGAUCUGCGGUGGGUACGGGCAGACUAGAGUGAUGUAGGGGAGACUGGAAUUCCUGGUGUAGCGGUGAAAUGCGCAGAUAUCAGGAGGAACACCUGAGGUGAAGACGGGUUGCUGGGCUGACACUGACGCUGAGGCGCGAAAGCCAGGGGAGCAAACGGG